CUUGAUAUUCAAGUUGGAAUGCUAUCCAUUCCAUCAAAUCUCAAUAGCAAAGCAGAUUCGAGUUGGGCUAGUACUUGGAUGGGAGGCCUCCUUGGAAGGUCGGAUUGAGGCCAAGC
rnacentral:rRNA from 1 species